UCCUAUACACGUAUCAUAAAUCUUUACUGAAUGUGACAUUGGGUCUAUACGUUUUUUAAUGUUCUAAAUUUUUGAUCUACUAAACUUGGAAACAAAUUAUAUAUUUAUAUACCAGAUGAAUCAAUGAGUUAUCAUAAUUUUCUAAUCAACCCCUUUCUGGAUUGGUUUAUGAGAUAUGAGAGAAGCCAAAAUACUUUGAUUUCUUAUAUUUUGCAAACAAGAUCAUACUUUACGUAUUAAACAUGCUAAUUAAAAUCGAUUUCUCAAUAUUAGAAUGUAAAUGAUUACUAUUAAUUAUUUAACAAAUUUAAUUGGUUGAUACGAGUUGAUUUUCUAUUACGGUAAAUUGAUGAAACAAUAGCCAGUCCAAUGGCUGCUUCAGCGGCUGC
rnacentral:lncRNA from 1 species